rnacentral:rRNA from 1 species
CCUGACUGCUAUCGGAUUGAUACUAAGCCAUGCGAGUCAUUGUAGCAAUACAAGGCAUACGGCUCAGUAACGCGUAGUCAACCUAACCUAUGGACGGGAAUAACCUCGGGAAACUGAGAAUAAUGCCCGAUAGAACAUUAUACCUGGAAUGGUUUAUGUUCCAAAUGAUUUAUCGCCGUAGGAUGGGACUGCGGCCUAUCAGUUUGUUGGUGAGGUAAUGGCCCACCAAGACUAUUACAGGUACGGGCUCUGAGAGGAGUAGCCCGGAGAUGGGUACUGAGACACGGACCCAGGCCCUAUGGGGCGCAGCAGGCGAGAAAACUUUGCAAUGUGCGAAAGCACGACAAGGUUAAUCCGAGUGAUUUCUGCUAAAGAAAUCUUUUGUUAGUCCUAGAAACACUAACGAAUAAGGGGUGGGCAAGUUCUGGUGUCAGCCGCCGCGGUAAAACCAGCACCUCAAGUGGUCAGGAUGAUUAUUGGGCCUAAAGCAUCCGUAGCCGGCUCUGUAAGUUUUCGGUUAAAUCUGUACGCUUAACGUACAGGCCGCCGGGAAUACUGCAAAGCUAGGGAGUGGGAGAAGUAGACGGUACUCGGUAGGAAGUGGUAAAAUGCUUUGAUCUAUCGAUGACCACCUGUGGCGAAGGCGGUCUACUAGAACACGUCCGACGGUGAGGGAUGAAAGCUGGGGGAGCAAACCGGAUUAGAUACCCGGGUAGUCCCAGCUGUAAACUAUGCAAACUCAGUGAUGCAUUGGCUUGUGGCCAAUGCAGUGCUGCAGGGAAGCCGUUAAGUUUGCCGCCUGGGAAGUACGUACGCAAGUAUGAAACUUAAAGGAAUUGGCGGGGGAGCACCACAAGGG